UACAGAGGUCUCAAGCGUUGUUCGGAUUCAUUGGGCGUAAAGGGUGCGUAGGCGGCGCGGUAAGUCGGGUGUGAAAUCUCGGGGCUUAACUCCGAAACUGCAUUCGAUACUGCCGUGCUUGAGGACUGGAGAGGAGACUGGAAUUUACGGUGUAGCGGUGAAAUGCGUAGAUAUCGGAAGGAACAUCAGUGGCGAAAGCGGCUUCCUGGACCAGCACCGACGUUCAGGCACGAAAGCGUGGGGAGCAAACAGG
rnacentral:rRNA from 1 species